AUACGAGGGGUGCAAGCGUUAUUCGGAAUCAUUGGGCGUAAAGGGUGUGUAGGCGGCAACCUAAGUCAACUGUUAAAUACUCCGGCCUAACUGGAGAUCAGCGGUAGAUACUGAGUUGCUAGAGGAUGGAAGAGAGAAGUGGAAUUCUCGGAGUAGCGGUAAAAUGCGUGGAUCUCGAGAGGAACACCAAUGGCGAAGGCAGCUUCUUGGUCCAUUUCUGACGCUGAGACACGAAAGCGUGGGGAGCAAACAGGAUUAGAAACCCCGGUAGUCC
rnacentral:rRNA from 1 species